UUAAAANNCCGUUGANACUGUCGUUCUUGAGUAUAUUNGANGUNGGCGGANUUNGUAGUGUAGCGGUGAAAUGCAUAGAUAUUACGAAGAACUCCAAUUGCGAAGGCAGCUUACUAAACUAUAACUGACGCUGAAGCACGAAAGCGUGGGUAUCAAACAGGAUUAGAUACCCUGGUAGUCCGCGCCGUAAACGAUGAUUACUAGCUGUUUGUGAUAUUACAAUAAGCGGCUAAGCGAAAGCGAUAAGUAAUCCACCUGGGGAGUACGCCGGCAACGGUGAAACUCAAAGGAAUUGACGGGGGCCCGCACAAGCGGAGGAACAUGUGGUUUAAUUCGNUGAUACGCGAGGAACCUUACCCGGGCUUGAAAUGCAUCUGACCNGCCAAGAAAUUGGUCUUCUAACAAUAGCAGAUGUGUAGGUGCUGCAUGGUUGUCGUCAGCUCGUGCCGUGAGGUGUCGGCUUAAGUGCCAUAACGAGCGCAACCCACAUUGUUAGUUACUAACAGGUCAAGCUGAGGACUCUGACAAGACUGCCAGCGUAAGCUGUGAGGAAGGUGUGGAUGACGUCAAAUCAGCACGGCCCUUACGUCCGGGGCGACACACGUGUUACAAUGGAUGGUACAGAGGGUCGCUACCUAGUGAUAGGAUGCCAAUCUCCAAAGCCAUUCCCAGUUCGGAUUGGAGUCUNCAACUCGACUCUAUGAAGCUGGAUUCGCUAGUAAUCGCGGAUCANCAUGCCGCGGUGAAUACGUUCCCGGGCCUUGUACACACCGCCCGUCAUCUUGCUGAAAAA
rnacentral:rRNA from 1 species